rnacentral:rRNA from 1 species
UACAGAGAGAAGCCAGGUGGCGACACCGAGCGGAACUCGAAAGCCNGUCUCAGUUCGGAUCGGAGUCUGCAACCCGACUCCGUGAAGCUGGAUUCGCUAGUAAUCGCGCAUCAGCCAUGGCGCGGUGAAUACGUUCCCGGGCCUUGUACACACCGCCCGUCAAGCCAUGGAAGCCGGGAGUGCCUGAAGUAUGCAACCGCAAGGAGCGUCCUAAGGUAAAACCGGUGACUGGGGCUAAGUCGUAACAAGGUAGC